ACGGGAGGCAGCAGUGGGGAAUAUUGGGCAAUGGGCGAAAGCCUGACCCAGCAACGCCGCGUGAAGGAAUAAGGUCUUCGGAUUGUAAACUUCUUUUAUGAGGGACGAAGGACGUGACGGUACCUCAUGAAUAAGCCACGGCUAACUACGUGCCAGCAGCCGCGGUAAUACGUAGGUGGCAAGCGUUAUCCGAAUUUACUGGGUGUAAAGGGCGCGUAGGUGGGGAUGCAAGUCAGGUGUGAAAUCUAUGGGCUUAACUCAUAAGCUGCAUUUGAAACUGCAUCUCUUGAGUGCUGGAGAGGUAGACGGAAUUCCUUGUGUAGCGGUGAAAUGCGUAGAUAUAAGGAAGAACACCAGUGGAGAAGGCGGUCGACUGGACAGUAACUGACGCUGAGGCGCGAAAGCGUGGGGAGCAAACAGGAUUAGAUACCCUGGUA
rnacentral:rRNA from 1 species